rnacentral:lncRNA from 1 species
CUGGGGAGAUGCUGGGGCACAUUGCUCCAGGAGAUGAGUGCCUGCCCUCAAGCAACUCUUAGCACAGUGGGGGAGAUGUACAUUGUGACACAUAGAGUGUAGUGUGAUGAGCACAAAGAUGAGAUAUACGGAGGUCUUCCUGUUACCCUUAUGGGAAUGCCCUUCACUGAGGCAGAAGCGGAGGAUGAAUAUGAGCUCACUGGUGGACACUGGGUGGAACGGAGGACACCAGGAGCAAGUUAAUUCAUAGAAGAUUGGAAAGGCAGAGUGCCCCGAAGGAGUGUGCGUUUUUCCAUCCUUAGACAAGGUUACUUACUUGGGAGCACCCCUGGGAACAAGACCUAUAAAGGAACGAGGGAGCAAGACUGGCAGUGGGAGAAGCUGGACAGCAAAGCAGUUGCAGCACAGGCUGCAGUUAAUCCCACAGGGAGUUUCUGGAGCUGAGAUGGCUUUUCAGAGAGAUUCUGCACUGAGACCUGCCUUGCAAGAAAUGUUACAAGAAGUUCUUCAGAGAGAAGGAAAAUUAUACACCGGUCAGCAAUUCAAAUCUAUAUAAAGGAAGAAAGAGCAUUAGAAGAGGAAUAUGGAAAGAGGAUAGAAGCAGAGAAAAUAUUUCCUAACUCAUUCUCUGAAGCCAAGCAUUACCCUAAUACCAAUUCUCUAGCAAUGAUCAAUAUGGAUUUUAAAAUCAAGAGAGGGCAUUAUUUUCAGAAAAGAACAGAAAAGACAAAGAACCCUGCCGGCCCCAGGAGAACAUGAGUAGGCUUUUCGGAAAGGCCCUGCCAUCCACCUGGCCCGACCCAAGCAGCUUUGUGCUCUUUUCUCUAGACUCCUUGCUCCCACAGCCAACUGGAUGUGUGGGCAGGAACAGAAUAAAAUGCUGAUCUUGAGGAAAUGCUGUGAGAUACUAUCGGGGAGAAAUUAAGAAGCAAUUUUGAAUGAAGACUGGAGGAUUUGUCAACAAACUGGAGGGAAUCCAGAGAAGAACCAAGGAUGACUGAAGACCUGGGGCUGAAGGCUGGACUUGCGAAUAGAGAUGAAAAGAAAAUGUGUUUAACUUGGCUAGACUCUAAGUUGGGACUUAAAAACAGCAUUGGAGCCCAAUCAAACCACCAUUAACAACUGCCAGGCAGAUCCCCAUCCGAAGUGACCCGGAAAGGUCAAAACAACCUCUUAAAAUUUCCAGUGUUUUUUAGUUCA